AUUAUUGAACCAUGUAGGGUUGUUUUCGGACAGACAUUGUAAGGGUGUUAUAACUUUUCUUGUUUGUAAUUGUAACCUUGGAUUUAGAAUUCGGCGACAAGACUAAGUCUUGGUUUUUAGGAUUUUUCUUAGGUUUAGUUUUAAAAAUUUAUUAGUCACCUAUCAUCCAAGUAUUAGGAUUAUUUGAGGUUUUCUAUUUAGGAUUGUGUAUUUUAUAGUAGGUUAGCUUAUUUCUUAAUUUCUUACUUUAAUUUUUU
rnacentral:lncRNA from 1 species